rnacentral:rRNA from 1 species
UACGAAGGGGGCUAGCGUUGCUCGGAAUCACUGGGCGUAAAGGGUGCGUAGGCGGGUCUUUAAGUCAGGGGUGAAAUCCUGGAGCUCAACUCCAGAACUGCCUUUGAUACUGUUUGUCUUGAGUCCGGGAGAGGUGAGUGGAACUGCGAGUGUAGAGGUGAAAUUCGUAGAUAUUCGCAAGAACACCAGUGGCGAAGGCGGCUCACUGGCCCGGAACUGACGCUGAGGCGCGAAAGCGUGGGGAGCAAACAGG